rnacentral:lncRNA from 1 species
CUUUGAAGACCUGUCUGAGAGUCUGUGUGAAAUCCUGCCUGAGUCCCUGUCGGGGAACUCAGCCUCUCUGGUGGCAUUACAGGAGAGUGGCAUGGGUAUCUCAGGCUUGGCCAGGUAAAGCAAAGUUGUAUAGGUGCCCUCUUGCUGUCAUGGAGGAAUCAAGAGGGGAGGCCUUGAAGACAGAAGUAUAGUCAGGUGGGGAGUAUUAUGAAGUGACUCUUCUAUAGUGGGGUGUGGGUGGUUGUGGUGGUUUGAAUAUGCUUGGCCCAGGGAAUGGGACUAUUAGGAGGUGUGACCUUGUUGGAGGAAGUCACUGUAGGAGUGGUCUUUUAGACCCUCCUUCCAACUAUGUGGGAGUCAGUCUUCUCUUGGUUGCCAUUGGAACAAGAGGUAGACCUCUCAGCAUCUCCAGCGCUAUGCCUGCCUGGAUGCUGCCAUGCUUCCUGCCAUGAUGAUAACGGAUUGAACCUCUGAACCUGUAAGCCAGCACCAAUUGAAUGUUGUCCUUGUAAGAGUUGCCUUAAUCAUGGUUUCUGUUCACAGCAGUAAAACCCUAACUAAGACAAAUAGGAAGGGACCCGGAGGAGAGAAAGGGAACAGAGGGAGGGUGUGAAGGAACACGAAAGCCAAGAGGGAGAGAACGGCACCUGGAGGUCUGGUGAUGGGAUCUGACGCUGGCUGGUUGUCUGCCAAGGAGACCCUCAAUUCUGAGUGGCCCAUGGUCACUGGCCCUGGGAAUUUCUUCAGCAUGGCUGCUGACUACAUCAAGCAAGAACCUGUUCCUAAGACAGAGCUUAUAUGAUACAUAGUGAUCAUGAAGUAUGGAGGGACACUGUCACCUUUCCAGGUUUACUAAUGAGUGACAGGUUCUGCUAACAUAUAUGGGAGGGGAUAGUACAGGGGUAUGAAUACCAGGGGCCUGGGUUGCUGAGUGACCCUCAAGCCUUUACAUCAUAUCUGACAAGGUUAGCAGUGAGUGCUCUCAGUACCAGGUACUCACGGUCCCUGCGUUUUGUGAACUUUCUCACCUGACCCACAGAAUAACCCAAGAAGAGCAGUAACUGCCCUCACUGUACCAAUGGAGGAAUGUGAGGUCAAGGAUCCUGGUAGGGGUUCAACAGGGGAAGGCAGGAGCACUGUGGAAUUGGUCAUAGACACCAUGUGAUCCAACACCCAGGGUUGCCAGUGAAGACAAACCUCAGAAGACUCUCAGGACAUGCCCUGGCCCUGGUGAGCCACUAACCCCUGCCACCCUAAAUAACCCACUUGGGACUUGUCUUCCUCUGGCAGCUUCUG